AGCUUGAAUCUAGUUCAACUUCGUGAAAUGAUUUUAGAGGUGUAGAAUAAGUGGGAGCCCUUUUUGGUGCAAGUGAAAUACCACUACUUUUAAUGUUAUUUUACUUAUUCUGUGGGGCGAAGAUGGGUAAUUUCCCCUGUUUUCUUCCAUAAGACACGUUUUAAUGAGUUGAUCUAGGAGAAAAACAUUGUCAGGUGGGGAUUUUGGCUGGGGAGACACAUUUGUUAAAAGAUAACACAAGUGUCCUAAGAUGAGCUCAAUGAGAAAAUAGAUAUCGUGUGGAACAAAAGGGUAAAAGCUCAUUUGAUUUUCCACCAACUUAUUGAUCCUUAUAAUUCAUUGAUGGAUAUGAAUUACUACAUCAAUUAGAUGUUUUCAUGCAUGGAUAUAGUUAAUUUAAAAUACUAAUUGCUUGAGUAAAAUUAAGUGGCCAAUGUCACAUAUGGAGGAAUGGUUCAUGCAGCCCUAAGAGAGGAUAGGAUAAUAGGACUAGAGAUGUCUGGAGGGAGUAUAAAUACCUAAUUAAUGUCAAUCACACUCACCAAUGACUAAUGACCAACUUUUGACAUGCAAGGAAGUUA
rnacentral:ncRNA from 1 species